rnacentral:rRNA from 1 species
GUCGUAACAAGGUUUCGUAGGUGAACCUGCGAAAGGAUCAUUA